rnacentral:tRNA from 1 species
GGUUCCAUAGUGUAGCGGUUAGCACAUCUGCUUUACAUGCAGAAGGUCCUGGGUUAGCACCCUAGUGGAGCCA